rnacentral:tRNA from 1 species
AGCGGAGUGGCUGAGGUAGGCGGUGGGCUGUAAACCUAUUUACAAGUAUAAUACUUCUCCGUUA